rnacentral:rRNA from 1 species
CCUACGGGGGGCAGCAGUGGGGAAUAUUGCGCAAUGGGCGAAAGCCUGACGCAGCGACGCCGCGUGAGGGAUGAAGGUCUUCGGAUCGUAAACCUCUGUCAGCAGGGACGAACGGUCACUGUGCUAAUCAGCAGUGAAUUGACGGUACCUGCAAAGGAAGCACCGGCUAACUCCGUGCCAGCAGCCGCGGUAAUACGGAGGGUGCGAGCGUUAAUCGGAAUUACUGGGCGUAAAGCGCUCGUAGGCGGGAUGUCAAGUCAAGGGUGAAAUCCCCGCGCUAAACGUGGGAACUGCCUUUGAAACUGGCAAUAUGGAGUGUGUGAGAGGAUAGUGGAAUGCCAGGUGUAGGAGUGAAAUCCGUAGAUAUCUGGAGGAACAUCAGUGGCGAAGGCGACUAUCUGGCACAUAACUGACGCUGAGGAGCGAAAGCGUGGGUAGCAAACAGGAUUAGAUACCCUAGUAGUC